GCCUACGGGGGGCAGCAGUGGGGGAUAUUGCACAAUGGGGGGAACCCUGAUGCAGCGACGCCGCGUGGGUGAAGGAGCGUUUCGGCGCGUAAAGCCCUAUCGGCAGGGAAGAAGAUGACGGUACCUGACCAAGAAGCCCCGGCUAACUACGUGCCAGCAGCCGCGGUAAUACGUAGGGGGCAAGCGUUAUCCGGAUUUACUGGGUGUAAAGGGGGCGCAGACGGCAAUGCAAGCCAGGAGUGAAAGCCCGGGGCCCAACCCCGGGACUGCUCUUGGAACUGCAUGGCUGGAGUACAGGAGGGGCAGGCGGAAUUCCUAGUGUAGCGGUGAAAUGCGUAGAUAUUAGGAGGAACACUCGUGGCGAAGGCGGGUUCCUGGACAUUAACUGACGCUGAGGCACGAAGGCCAGGGGAGCGAAAGGGAUUAGAUACCCGGGUAGUC
rnacentral:rRNA from 1 species